GACGAACGCUGGCGGCGUGGAUUAGGCAUGCAAGUCGAACGGUAUCAUCCUUUCGGGGGUGAGAGAGUGGCGAACUGGUGAGUAACACGUAGGUUAUCUACCCUCAAGACGGGGACAACCCAGGGAAACUUGGGCUAAUACCGGAUGUGAGCAACUUUUAGUUGUUUGAAAGGUGGCGUAAGCUGUCGCUUGGGGAUGAGCCUGCGUCCUAUUAGUUAGUUGGUGAGGUAACGGCUCACCUAGGCAAUGAUAGGUAGGCGGCCUUAACGGGUGGUCGCCCACACUGGGAUUGAGAUACGGCCCAGACUCCUACGGGAGGCAGCAGUCGAGAAUAGUCUACAAUGGCCGGAAGGCUGAUAGUGCGACGCCGCGUGAACGAGGGAGCCCUUCGGGUGUAAAGUUCUUUUCUAUGUGAGCAGUGCUUCUUAUAUUAACAGUAUGGGGAGAGAGAUAUUAGCAUAUGAAUAAGCAACGGCUAACUCCGUGCCAGCAGCCGCGGUAAACU
rnacentral:rRNA from 1 species